CAAGAAAAAUAAAAUCCCUUUAAACGAGGAACUCCUCUGAAAAGCAGAUAUUUAGAGUUUGACAAAUAGUACUUGUGUUCUUUGUAGCACUCUGCUGGCAAACUGCUGGGAACUAAUGAAUGGAUGGCUGCUGGGAUGCAGUUCUGAUUUUGGUUGGUGGGAAUGUUACUUGACUUGUUAAUUAUCUACAAGGACCAGGGCUGAGUAGAUGAAGUGCAAAACAGCAGCAGUAUGAUAAGGUGAAAAAAAUAUUUUCCUGCAUCAUGCUAUGACAAAGGCUGAGCACCCAUGCUGUUAUAGUGCCUAGAGAGCCUGCUGUCACGGAGUCCCCGGGCAAUGAUCUGGAACUGCUCCCUACGAAGCCAGUCAGGACUCUGGUGAAGUCUCCUCUCUGUGAACAGACUGUCUCCAGGGCAAACGGCUCACACGGCUUCCACCUUCCUGGUGGUGACUGGGGAAAAAAUGGUGUUGAAAAUAGAAGAUAGUAAAUGAAUGUGACCACUGAUAUGCAAAAGGAUCAGAUACCGACUCUAUAGUAUGCCUAACCAUAAUACAUAUAUACAGAGACAAACUAUUGGUUGAAGGGUCUCAAGAUGAAGAGGUCACAGAAGUGACAUACUGUACUAUCAAUGAUCAACAUGAAGAGGAAUCAAAGAUAGAUAGUUACCUGAUGAACAAUCAAAGUGCUACCACUGAAAGCAAUCUACUAGAGAGGAAAAGGGAUUAAAUAAUCUUUCUUGCUGACUCAGUAGUGAAGACCAAGUCCCAAGGCCACCUGUUCCCCAAAUAAAGAAAACUGGGUGUUAUCCUUCUAGGACAAGAGAUGUGACAAGAAAGGCAGAGAAUACGCUGAAAAUGUUGGGGAAUUUGAACUUAUUGUUAUCCACAUGAGAACCAAAACACAAGAGAAAAGAGAUCUGAUAGACUCAAGGAUAGCUUUAAGGAAAUGGGAAAAGAACAAACACAGGAGUCACUCGGUGGUAGAUACAAAGAGUAGUAGCUAUAAUGAUCAUGAAAGAAAAUCAAAUCAGAAAAACUGGUCUCUGCCAGAAAGAAUCUCUAUCUGCAGAAUCAGAACCUUUCCAGCUAUCGUAUCAGAAUAUUCUUGUAUUGCAUAUAAAAUUCUAUUCCUAUACCUUC